UACGUAGGGCGCGAGCGUUGUCCGGAAUUAUUGGGCGUAAAGAGCUCGUAGGCGGCCUGUUGCGUCCGCUGUGAAAUCCCGGGGCUCAACCCCGGGCCUGCAUUCGAUACGGGCAGACUAGAGUUCGGUAGGGGAGUCUGGAAUUCCUGGUGUAGCGGUGAAAUGCGCAGAUAUCAGGAGGAACACCGGUGGCGAAGGCGGGACUCUGGGCCGAUACUGACGCUGAGGAGCGAAAGCGUGGGGAGCAAACAGG
rnacentral:rRNA from 1 species